AUCCUUCUGUUGUUCGUAAGUGUGAUGACUGCAUUUUCACACCCACGUGGGAGAUGGGCCUCCCUCAAACAUUGUUACAACGUCAGCACAUUACCCCUCUGAUA